UACGUAGGUGGCAAGCGUUGUCCGGAUUUACUGGGCGUAAAGAGCGCGCAGGCGGUCGAUCAAGUCGCGUGUGAAAGCCCCCGGCUCAACUGGGGAGGGUCACGCGAUACUGAUCGACUCGAAGGCAGGAGAGGGAUGCGGAAUUCCAGGUGUAGCGGUGAAAUGCGUAGAUAUCUGGAGGAACACCGGUGGCGAAGGCGGCAUCCUGGACCAAUUCUGACGCUGAGGAGCGAAAGCCAGGGGAGCAAACGGG
rnacentral:rRNA from 1 species